GGCGGAGUAGCUCAGCAGGUUAGAGCAGCGGAAUCAUAAUCCGCGUGUCGGGGGUUCGAAUCCCUCCUCCGCUA
rfam:Rhodospirillum photometricum DSM 122 draft genome sequence